AAGAUUUUACAAAGGAAUUUUAAACUUCUGUAACUGUCUCUUUCUUCCCUUCCGUCGCUCCCUGCUUCUUUCUCUCCAUCUUCCUAAUUCUCCGCCGCCACAAAGACCUCACGCAGUGGCCAUGGCUCUGGCAGUCCGGGGCCAGAUCUCAGUCAAGGGCGAUAAUAAAUUUUUAUAAGUAAGUUGCUUAUAAGUCAACAAUGGAAAAAAAAAAAAAAAACAUUGAAUGAAGGAAAAAGACAUGGGCCAAGCUUGUCUUCAAUCUGUGUCCUGGAUGCUGACCCUCUAAGAUCUAAGAGAUGAAGUGUAAUAGUCAGUCCAUACAUUUAUUUGAUUGCCUUGUCAUGAAAGAACUCGUAUAUAUGUCAUGAUCUGUAAGUCUUACUUGAGUUUUCUAUGUGCUAUUUCACCGAGUACUUGAAUCAUAAUCUCCUACCAGAUGCAUAUUUAUGUUUACAGUGCUUACAUUUCUCCUCACA